rnacentral:tRNA from 1 species
GCCUUUGUGGUGUAAUGGUCAGCACCCUCGGCGUGUAUUCAAGAGUUCCAGGUUCGAGUCCCGGCGAGGGCA